GGCGUUAAGUUGCAGGGUAUAGACCCGAAACCCGGUGAUCUAGCCAUGGGCAGGUUGAAGGUUGGGUAACACUAACUGGAGGACCGAACCGACUAAUGUUGAAAAAUUAGCGGAUGACCUGUGGCUGGGGGUGAAAGGCCAAUCAAACCGGGAGAUAGCUGGUUCUCCCCGAAAGCUAUUUAGGUAGCGCCUCGUGAAUUCAUCUCCGGGGGUAGAGCACUGUUUCGGCUAGGGGGCCAUCCCGGCUUACCAACCCGAUGCAAACUGCGAAUACCGGAGAAUGUUAUCACGGGAGACACACGGCGGGUGCUAACGUCCGUCGUGAAGAGGGAAACAACCCAGACCGCCAGCUAAGGUCCCAAAGUCAUGGUUAAGUGGGAAACGAUGUGGGAAGGCCCAGACAGCCAGGAUGUUGGCUUAGAAGCAGCCAUCAUUUAAAGAAAGCGUAAUAGCUCACUGGUCGAGUCGGCCUGCGCGGAAGAUGUAACGGGGCUAAACCAU
rnacentral:rRNA from 18 species